rnacentral:rRNA from 1 species
AACGAACGCUGGCGGCAUGCCUAACACAUGCAAGUCGAACGAGAGCUUCGGGGCUAGUGGCGCACGGGUGCGUAACGCGUGGGAACCUGACCUUAGGUUCGGAAUAACUCCCGGAAAGGGGUGCUAAUAGCGGAUAAUGUUUUCGGCCCAAAGAUUUAUCUACCUUGGAUGGGCCCGCGUUGCAUUAGCUAGUUGGUAGGGUAAAAGCCUACCAAGGCGACGAUCCAUAGCUGGUCUGUGAGGCUGCUCAGCCACACUGGGACUGAGCCCCGGCCCAGACUCCUACGCGAUGCACGAGUGGCGAAUAUUGCACAAUCGGCUAAAGCCUGAUCCAGCUAUGCCGCUUAAGUUAUGAUGGCCUUAGGGUUGUAAAGCUCUUUUACCCGGACUGAUAAUGACAGUACCUGGAGAAUAAGCCCCGGCUAACUCCGUG